ensembl:lncRNA
CUUCCCCCUGCUCCUCUCUGUGGUCUCCAGACUUCCCCCUGCUCCUCUCUGUGGUCUCCAGACUCCCCCCUGCUCCUCUCUGUGGUCUCCAGACUUCCCCCUGCUCCUCUCUGUGGUCUCCAGACUCCCCCCUGCUCCUCUCUGUGGUCUCCAGACUCCCCCCUGCUCCUCUCUGUGGUCUCCAGACUCCCCCCUGCUCCUCUCUGUGGUCUCCAGACUUCCCCCUGCUCCUCUCUGUGGUCUCCAGACUCCCCCCUCUCCUCUCUGUGGUCUCCUGACUUCCCCCUGCUCCUCUCUGUGGUCUCCAGACUUCCCCCUGCUCCUCUCUGUGGUCUCCAGACUCCCCCCUGCUCCUCUCUGUGGUCUCCAGACUUCCCCCUGCUCCUCUCUGUGGUCUCCAGACUCCCCCCUGCUCCUCUCUGUGGUCUCCAGACUCCCCCCUGCUCCUCUCUGUGGUCUCCAGACUUCCCCCUGCUCCUCUCUGUGGUCUCCAGACUUCCCCCUGCUCCUCUCUGUGGUCUCCAGACUCCCCCCUGCUCUUCUCUGUGGUCUCCAGACUCCCCCCUGCUCCUCUCUGUGGUCUCCAGACUCCCCCCUGCUCCUCUCUGUGGUCUCCAGACUCCCCCCUGCUCCUCUCUGUGGUCUCCAGACUUCCCCCUGCUCCUCUCUGUGGUCUCCAGACUCCCCCCUGCUCCUCUCUGUGGUCUCCUGACUCCCCCCUGCUCCUCUCUGUGGUCUCCAGACUCCCCCCUGCUCCUCUCUGUGGUCUCCAGACUCCCCCCUGCUCCUCUCUGUGGUCUCCAGACUCCCCCCUGCUCCUCUCUGUGGUCUCCAGACUCCCCCCUGCUCCUCUCUGUGGUCUCCAGACUCCCCCCUGCUCCUCUCUGUGGUCUCCAGACUCCCCCCUGCUCCUCUCUGUGGUCUCCAGACUCCCCCUGCUCCUCUCUGUGGUCUCCAGACUCCCCCCUGCUCCUCUCUGUGGUCUCCAGACUCCCCCCUGCUCCUCUCUGUGGUCUCCAGACUCCCCCCUGCUCCUCUCUGUGGUCUCCAGACUCCCCCUGCUCCUCUCUGUGGUCUCCAGACUCCCCCCUGCUCCUCUCUGUGGUCUCCAGACUCCCCCCUGCCCCUCUCUGUUCUCUCCAGAGUCCCCCCUGCUCCUCUCUGUGGUCUCCAGACUCCCCCCUGUUCCUCUCUGUGGUCUCCAGACUCCCCCCUGCUCCUCUCUGUGGUCUCCAGACUCCCCCCUACUCCUCUCUGUGGUCUCCUGACUCCCCCCUGCUCCUCUCUGUGGUCUCCAGACUCCCCCCUGCUCCUCUCUGUGGUCUCCUGACUCCCCCCUGCUCCUCUCUGUGGUCUCCUGACUCCCCCCUGCUCCUCUCUGUGGUCUCCUGACUCCCCCCUGCUCCUCUCUGUGGUCUCCAGACUCCCCCCUUCUCCUCUCUGUGGUCUCCUGACUCCCCCCUGCUCCUCUCUGUGGUCUCCAGACUUCCCCCUGCUCCUCUCUGUGGUCUCCUGACUCCCCCCUGCUCCUCUCUGUGGUCUCCUGACUCCCCCCUGCUCCUCUCUAUGGUCUCCUGACUCCCCCCUGCUCCUCUCUGUGGUCUCCUGACUCCCCCCUGCUCCUCUCUGUGGUCUCCUGACUCCCCCCUGCUCCUCUCUGUGGUCUCCUGACCCCCCCCUGCUCCUCUCUGUGGUCUCCUGACUCCCCCCUGCUCCUCUCUGUGGUCUCCAGACUCCCCCCUGC